rnacentral:rRNA from 1 species
CAGAACGAACGCUGGCGGCGCGUUUAAGCAUGCAAGUCGAGCGGCAAGGGCCUUCGGGCCCCUAGAGCGGCGGACGGGUGAGUAACACGUGGACAAUCUGCCCCCCGGCCCGGGAUAGCCCAGGGAAACCUGGAUUAAUACCGGAUGAGACGGGACCCGCGAUGGCGGGACCCGGGAAAGGCGCUGCGGCGCCGCCGGGGGAUGAGUCUGCGUCCCAUUAGCUAGACGGCGGGGUAACGGCCCACCGUGGCGACGAUGGGUAGCCGGCCUGAGAGGGUGGACGGCCACAUUGGAACUGAGACACGGUCCAGACUCCUACGGGAGGCGGCAGCUAAGAAUCUUCCGCAAUGGGCGAAAGCCUGACGGAAGCGACGCCGCGUGAACGAAGAAGGCCGUGAGGUUGUAAAGUUCUUUUCGGGAGGGGAACAACCGUGGCAGGGAAUGGCCGCGGGAUGACGUGAAUCCCGGAAUAAGCCCCGGCUAACUACGUGCCAGCCGCCGC